GGGAGCGGAGGGGACGGGAGGGGGACCGCCGGCGCCUGGGCGAGAGAGACGCGUCAAUGGGCCGCAGGGGCCGGAUCGGUGGCCUAAUGGAUUCAGGCCUGCAAGGCAGAGGCGCACCCGGCGGCCUGCCCGCGCUCUCAAUAGCGGACAAUGGAGUCCUGGGGUGACCUGAACAAAGAAUUUGGAAGUAGUUAAACUGCAGAACACGUUCUGGGCCUGGGUGCCUCCUUUCAAAAGGAGCGCUGGGAGAAGAAAAGAAAUCGCUGGGGGGCGAAGGGGGUGAGAAACUGCCUAGGGGAAAAGUUGGUGGGUCGCCCUAGUUGCCGCCAGCUACCAGACGCCAGGAAUUCAAUAGAAAAUGGGGGAGGGGUGGCCCAAGUCUCCCAGACCGCAAGGAGAGUCAGAGAAAGUUCUCCAGGGAUGGCUGGGGUUCUGGAGCAGGACUGAGCUUUCUCCCAUCAACACACACGGUCAAGGGAGCAACCCCCCACCAACAGACACACAGUCAAGGCCAGGAGAAGCUUCCCUCGGACUUUGGGGCUAGAACAGGGACCAGUGAGUGGAGAGGGUGUCUGGGCCCCUGUGUCUAGACCUCCAUGGACCGCUUCCCUCCUUCCCUCCUCUACCAGGACUCUAUGGACAGGUCUCCCUCUUUGAGCCCUUUCACAGAGCUUGUUUUUGUUUUUCCUUCUCCAUCCAGUUCAGAAGGACUGGGUUCUCUCCCUCCUUCCCUUCUUCACUCCCCACCCCACACAGCCAGCAAUCUAGAUUCUUCUAUGAGAAUAUGUAUUUUUUAAAGUCAGGCCUCUGGGUGUAAAAUAGAGGGCCAAUUAUUAUUUUAUUUCUUUUUUCUGAAUUUUCUAAUUUUUUUUCACAAUCAGCACAGCCAACAACAUAGGAAAAGAAGACAUUUGAAAAGCAAUCAGUUAUACUGGUAUCAAACUAACUUAGAAUAGGAGGAACUUGAAAGACUGUGGAAACCAAAAGUGUAAAUAAAAUGACGGAAUAAAUGGUUAGGAGACAAGUCAGAAAAGAAAGGAGCGGUGGCUGCCACGUUCCUGGGAGGCAGUGCCUCUGGAAUCCGAGAGAACGCUCCCUGGCCAGGAGGCUUUCUCCUGUGGGAGGCGCUUGGCUUGCAAGGGGUUAACAGUAUUGCUCAUGAACUUGGCCUGUCUGUCUGGCUCGUGAUGAAUGGUGAGACUCGCUGACAAGUUCAGCCUAGGGACCUCCCCGCUGUGGAAGUGGAAGAAGCACACACAAGCGAAGGGGACCCGGGGGGAGCCACCAGGGCGCGUGGUUCGGAGUGCCAGGCACACUUUCUGCCUGCUCUCUUGGCUCCUGUCUCCCUUCGGCCGAUCACCUGCUCUCCUGAAGCUUUCCAACGUCAUCCUGGAGCCCCAGAGUUUCCUGAGGCCUCCGCGUUGUGCGUCCCAGGACCCCUUGCCCGCCCCUGCGGGAAACACGGAGCUGUAGGCAGCAGGACGUCCGGAGCCGGCCCAGGGGAGGCCAGAUUCAGCAUUUGGACAGCGGCUCCGGGGCGCCGUCGGCCCAGCGAGUUUGCAGGACAUGCUCUGGAGUCAGAAGACAGAGAAAAGAGAAGCAGAAGGCCUGGUGUCAUGAGUCUGAAGGUGGGUCCCAUCCUGACAUGGUGUCAUGAGUCUGAAGGUGGGUCCCAUCCUGACAUGGUGGCAAGAGUCUGAAGGUGAGUCCCUGUCCUGACAUGGUGACAAGAGUCUGAAGCUGAGUCCCCGUCCUGACAUGAUGACAAGAGUCUGAAGGUGAGUCCCUUCCUGACACGGUGGCAUGAGUCUGAAAGUGAGUCCCCAUCCUGAUGUGGUGGCAAGAGUCUGAAGGUGAGUCCCCGUCCUGACAUGGUGGCAAGAGUCUGAAGGUGGGCCCCGUCCUGACAUGGUCCUUGGGCUGCACAUGUGUGUUGGCAGUUCUUUCCAGCUGCUGUUCUGACCUCUCUGUGCAGUGUGUUUAUAUGGCUGUAGAUGGAUGGUCUGAGAUGAAUUUAGGUUUUGGAAUGCUGUUAUUUUUUUUUCUGCUUUAGGGAGAAAAUAACCCAGUUCAGGAAGGACAUUUGAAAAGGGAAAAUAUUGCGUAUGAUGGCACAGCUGCAGUCCUAGCUAUUCAGGAGGCUGAGGCUGG